GUACACAAAAAUGCACAUGCUGUGAGCUCGAUGAGUAGGGCGGGACACGUGGUAUCCUGUCUGAAUAUGGGGGGACCAUCCUCCAAGGCUAAAUACUCCUGACUGACCGAUAGUGAACCAGUACCGUGAGGGAAAGGCGAAAAGAACCCCGGCGAGGGGAGUGAAAAAGAACCUGAAACCGUGUACGUACAAGCAGUGGGAGCACAGAGCAAUCUGUGUGACUGCGUACCUUUUGUAUAAUGGGUCAGCGACUUAUAUUCUGUAGCAAGGUUAACCGAAUAGGGGAGCCGAAGGGAAACCGAGUCUUAACUGGGCGUUAAGUUGCAGGGUAUAGACCCGAAACCCGGUGAUCUAGCCAUGGGCAGGUUGAAGGUUGGGUAACACUAACUGGAGGACCGAACCGACUAAUGUUGAAAAAUUAGCGGAUGACUUGUGGCUGGGGGUGAAAGGCCAAUCAAACCGGGAGAUAGCUGGUUCUCCCCGAAAGCUAUUUAGGUAGCGCCUCGUGAAUUCAUCUCCGGGGGUAGAGCACUGUUUCGGCAAGGGGGUCAUCCCGACUUACCAACCCGAUGCAAACUGCGAAUACCGGAGAAUGUUAUCACGGGAGACACACGGCGGGUGCUAACGUCCGUCGUGAAGAGGGAAACAACCCAGACCGCCAGCUAAGGUCCCAAAGUCAUGGUUAAGUGGGAAACGAUGUGGGAAGGCCCAGACAGCCAGGAUGUUGGCUUAGAAGCAGCCAUCAUUUAAAGAAAGCGUAAUAGCUCACUGGUCGAGUCGGCCUGCGCGGAAGAUGUAACGGGGCUAAACCAUGCACCGAAGCUGCGGCAGCGACACUAUGUGUUGUUGGGUAGGGGAGCGUUCUGUAAGCCUGUGAAGGUGUACUGUGAGGUAUGCUGGAGGUAUCAGAAGUGCGAAUGCUGACAUAAGUAACGAUAAAGCGGGUGAAAAGCCCGCUCGCCGGAAGACCAAGGGUUCCUGUCCAACGUUAAUCGGGGCAGGGUGAGUCGACCCCUAAGGCGAGGCCGAAAGGCGUAGUCGAUGGGAAACAGGUUAAUAUUCCUGUACUUGGUGUUACUGCGAAGGGGGGACGGAGAAGGCUAUGUUGGCCGGGCGACGGUUGUCCCGGUUUAAGCGUGUAGGCUGGUUUUCCAGGCAAAUCCGGAAAACUAAGGCUGAGGCGUGAUGACGAGGCACUACGGUGCUGAAGCAACAAAUGCCCUGCUUCCAGGAAAAGCCUCUAAGCAUCAGGUAACAUCAAAUCGUACCCCAAACCGACACAGGUGGUCAGGUAGAGAAUACCAAGGCGCUUGAGAGAACUCGGGUGAAGGAACUAGGCAAAAUGGUGCCGUAACUUCGGGAGAAGGCACGCUGAUACGUAGGUGAAGUCCCUCGCGGAUGGAGCUGAAAUCAGUCGAAGAUACCAGCUGGCUGCAACUGUUUAUUAAAAACACAGCACUGUGCAAACACGAAAGUGGACGUAUACGGUGUGACGCCUGCCCGGUGCCGGAAGGUUAAUUGAUGGGGUCAGCGCAAGCGAAGCUCUUGAUCGAAGCCCCGGUAAACGGCGGCCGUAACUAUAACGGUCCUAAGGUAGCGAAAUUCCUUGUCGGGUAAGUUCCGACCUGCACGAAUGGCGUAAUGAUGGCCAGGCUGUCUCCACCCGAGACUCAGUGAAAUUGAACUCGCUGUGAAGAUGCAGUGUACCCGCGGCAAGACGGAAAGACCCCGUGAACCUUUACUAUAGCUUGACACUGAACAUUGAGCCUUGAUGUGUAGGAUAGGUGGGAGGCUUUGAAGUGUGGACGCCAGUCUGCAUGGAGCCGACCUUGAAAUACCACCCUUUAAUGUUUGAUGUUCUAACGUGGACCCGUAAUCCGGGUUGCGGACAGUGUCUGGUGGGUAGUUUGACUGGGGCGGUCUCCUCCUAAAGAGUAACGGAGGAGCACGAAGGUUGGCUAAUCCUGGUCGGACAUCAGGAGGUUAGUGCAAUGGCAUAAGCCAGCUUGACUGCGAGCGUGACGGCGCGAGCAGGUGCGAAAGCAGGUCAUAGUGAUCCGGUGGUUCUGAAUGGAAGGGCCAUCGCUCAACGGAUAAAAGGUACUCCGGGGAUAACAGGCUGAUACCGCCCAAGAGUUCAUAUCGACGGCGGUGUUUGGCACCUCGAUGUCGGCUCAUCACAUCCUGGGGCUGAAGUAGGUCCCAAGGGUAUGGCUGUUCGCCAUUUAAAGUGGUACGCGAGCUGGGUUUAGAACGUCGUGAGACAGUUCGGUCCCUAUCUGCCGUGGGCGCUGGAGAACUGAGGGGGGCUGCUCCUAGUACGAGAGGACCGGAGUGGACGCAUCACUGGUGUUCGGGUUGUCAUGCCAAUGGCACUGCCCGGUAGCUAAAUGCGGAAGAGAUAAGUGCUGAAAGCAUCUAAGCACGAAACUUGCCCCGAGAUGAGUUCUCCCUGACUCCUUGAGAGUCCUGAAGGAACGUUGAAGACGACGACGUUGAUAGGCCGGGUGUGUAAGCGCAGCGAUGCGUUGAGCUAACCGGUACUAAUGAACCGUGAGG
rnacentral:rRNA from 1 species